AUUGCUUUUUAGCUUCUCUCUUCUUCCUCAGAUCUUCACAUUAGAUUUCAAACACGCUUCUCGCAUCGCCUUCUAUCGUAAUAUCUACAAUCUGCGCGCAUUAAAAUGAUCUACAGGGAUCGUAGAACCAUACCUUACCGUUAUUUCAACUUCAACCGAAAUGUGUCACAGGCCCUUAUUCUCAGUCCCCAUUUCAAUUACGUUAAUCCACCUCGCUGUACAAACAUUUAUCGCACACUGUAUUAAAUCCACAAUGGAAUCGUUAUCCUUAAACCCAUCACGGGCUAAAACAAGAUAAAUCGUGCGAUUUAUUUCAACGGGGGGAUCAAGGGUCAGCGUGUAUCACAGCCUCGAAACUCGAAGCUCGCGCUUCGUUGCGGCACAGAAACCUUUCUCUCUCUCUCUCUCUCUCUCUCUCUCUCGUCUCCUCGAACGCAUCUACGGUGCUACGUGUAUCUAUAUACGUGUAUAUGCGAUCAAGUGCGAUUAAUUGAUGCAAGUAAUGACGCGUUUAAACGAUCGACGAGAUGCAUAGGAUAAUCAAUCUGACGCCUCGCUUUUCAGAAUCGUUCGCUUUUCGCUUCCUCAAAAA